CAAAUCUAGGCAAACCAAAUCUCCAUGAUAAAAUCCAAGUUUUUCUCAACAACCAUAACCCUCCAACUUCCCCCAAACACUCCAAAAACAAGACUUUUAGAACAAACCUGCUUAACACUUCUUCAAUCCCACUGCAACACAUUCCCAAAACUAACUCAAAUCCAAACCUUCAUCAUCAAAACUGGCCUCCAAAACAAUCCAUUAGUCCUCACCAAAUUCGCUUCAUCUUCCUCCAACAUCAACGCCAUUCACUACGCUUCCUCAUUCCUAUUCCCAUCUCACCAAACCCCAUCUCCCUCCUACGAUGCAUUCCUCUUCAACACCGUUAUCAGAGCCUACGCUCAAACUCAAACCCAUCAUUCUAAAUCAAAGGCGCUGGAAUUCUACAGAACCAUGCGACGCUACGGUGUGUCGCCUAAUAAAUUCACGUUUCCGUUUGUUCUUAAGGGUUGUGCUGGUGUUGGGAGUUUGAGAUUGGGGAAGUUGGUUCAUGGGGAGGUGGUGAAGUUUGGGUUUGAAGAUGAUCUUCAUGUUGUGAAUACAAUGAUUCAUAUGUAUUGUUGUUGUGAGGGGGAAGAAGGGGUUGAGUUUGCGGAGAAGGUGUUUGAUGAUUGUCCUAAGACGGAUUUGGUGACGUGGAGUGCUAUGAUUGGUGGGUUUGUGCGUUUGGGGCGGUCUGCAUGUGCUAUUGGUUUGUUUAGGGAAAUGCAGGUCAUGGGUGUUUGCCCUGAUGAGAUCACAAUGGUUUCUGUUUUGUCUGCAUGUGCUGAUUUGGGAGCACUUGAGCUUGGAAAAUGGCUGGAAUCAUACAUUGAGAGGAAAAACAUUCCAAAGUCUGUGGAACUCUGUAACGCACUGAUAGACAUGUUUGCAAAGUGUGGCGAUGUUGAUAAAGCCACCAAACUGUUCGGACAAAUGGAGUCACGCACCAUAGUUUCAUGGACUUCAGUAAUAGCUGGUUAUGCGAUGCACGGUCGUGGUUUAGAUGCUGUUUCUCUAUUUGACAAAAUGGUUGAAAAUGGAAUAACACCUGACGAUGUUGCUUUCAUUGGCGUGCUCUCUGCUUGUAGUCACUCGGGGCUUGUUGACAGAGGAAGAGCUUAUUUCAAAUCAAUGGAAAGGAAUUUCAACAUUGUGCCAAAGAUAGAACACUAUGGAUGCAUGGUGGAUUUGUUUUGUAGAGGGGGAUUUGUUAAAGAAGCAUUUGAGUUUGUUCAAAAGAUGCCUUUUGAACCAAACCAAAUCAUAUGGAGAACCAUAAUCACUGCUUGUCAUGCAAGUGGAGAACUCAAGCUUGGAGAGAGUAUCUCCGAAGAGCUAAUAAAAAAGGAGCCGAUGCACGAGUCUAAUUACGUUUUACUGUCGAACAUUUAUGCAAAAUUGCGACAAUGGGAGAAGAAGACUAAGGUGAGGGAGAUAAUGGAUAUGAGAGGGAUGAAGAAGGUUCCAGGGAGUACCAUGAUUGAGGUAAACAAUGAAAUGCAUGAGUUUGUUGCCGGUGAUAAGUCUCAUGAUCAGUAUAAGGAGAUAUAUGAAAUGGUGGAUGAGAUGGGAAGGGAAAUCAAAAGGGCAGGGUAUGUUCCUACAACAUCUCAAGUGUUGCUUGACAUCGAUGAUGAAGAUAAAGAAGAUGCUUUGCAUAGACAUAGUGAGAAGCUUGCCAUAGCUUUUGCUCUUUUGAACACUCCCCCUGGAACAUCCAUUAGGCUUGUGAAGAACUUGCGUGUUUGUGAAGAUUGUCACUCUGCUACUAAGUUUAUAUCUAAGGUUUAUAAUCGAGAGAUCAUUGUCCGGGACCGCAAUCGAUUUCACCAUUUCAAGAAUGGUCUGUGCUCUUGUAGAGACUUUUGGUAAUUGAAAAUUGAUUAGAACCUCAAAGAUUCUGUGUUCAUUUGCUGAAAAUUAAUAGUGUCUUCUACUGAUGUCAAAACAUGGAUGUUGUCCUCGGUUGGUGACUAUCCUUUUACAAAUGAAAAACAAAGCUCCAUUGAAAGUGCAAUUCCUGACGUUUAUAUGUUCAACAAAUUCCUCAGCUUCACCACCCCCUAGACUUCCCAGACUGCAUCAAAAUAUAAGGUAUGGCAGUACCCCUAGCUUAUCAGCAACAAUCAUUCUAAAUUUUGAACAAAGCUUUAUAUAUACUUUGACAUACCUAAUGCCAUGAGUCUUAGUAGGUCCACAAGUAACUCGAGUGAUAUUGAUGAAUUGUGAGCCACCUUUAAUAGUAAUGCAAUCAUCACCUAUAUAGUAAAGUAAAAUUCAUGUAUAACUAGAUAUUGGAAUCCUAAAAUAAUUUAAAAGAAACAACAUUCUAACAAACUGGAGUUUGGCAACAAAAACAAUCUCUGAUUUAUGACUAUUUUAGUUAGAGAUCAAUCUUAGUUAACCAACUUAGUUUGUGAAAAUGAUAGUUUAAGAAUGAGGGUUAAUUUUUUUUUUUUUUUGUGGUUUAGCCAACCAGUUCCGAUCCACAUAGUGAACCGACUAAUCUGGUUUCGAGGGACAACUCACUGACCAAGCCUUAUUUCCACCAAUAAUCGAACUCGGGUAGUACCCGAACGAUUCGUCCUUAGUGGAAGCUCAUUUCCCACUAGAGCCCAAGCACUUGGUUAAAUGAGGGUUCAUGUUAAAUACAUAAUAUAUUUACCACUUUGUAUUGUAGAGUUGUGAACAUUACCUCGAACGGAGUUUGAAAGAUCAUUUCCAUCCGUGUUGUGGCUAUCUGCUGACGAACUUAUGUUAACAUGUGAGAUUGUUACAUCUUGACUGUGGACUACAUAUAUAUGAAAUCUUGGUCCGUUUAAAUGAGUGAGGCCACUUAAUUAAAACCUGUCACAUCUUUUAAGGGAAUUUCUUAUUUCAUCCCAUGUUUUUCCAGUGCACCACGCGAAAUUUCAAAAAUGUUCCUGAAAAUCAGAAAUAUAUUUCCGGUUCGCACCCCACACACAUAAUUCAUUCGUUUUUGAGUUUCGCCCCAUUUUACGUUAAAAAUUAUUCCAAAAAUAAUCUUUCGGUACAAAUAACCACCUAUAAGGAGAACACGAGUUGCAAAUUCUUCUUGACCAUUACCUUCAAAGAUGUUGAAACUCCUUCAAAUGAUGCACCACUGAAUCACAACCAAACCUCAUGUGAAAACCAGUCCAACUCAAACUCGUCUGCCACGCUUCUUCUGCUAUAGGACAACAAAAAAUGGGUGCAAAGAAGUUUCUUCAAUACCAAUAUACAACGAAUAUAUUAAGUUAUGGCUACAAUUUAAUACCCAUCACAUUUCUAAUUCAAAUCUAGUUGGAAGCCUAUUUUGUAAAAACCUCCGAGCAAACAUUUGAUAUUUACUUGAGAUUUUUUCUACAAGACUAUAAUUCUCUAAAUAAAUUGUCAUCCAAGUAGGAACAUGCAUUCACAAUCUCUUCCAUCCUAAAAUAAAAACCUAGAAGAGUUUUGCUCCGUAUCAUUUUCCACAUAUUAAUCCAGAGCACUCAUGUCCUUGAUAGCCUCUUCUACUCCUAAAUCCACUUUCCCGAAAACCUCACAGUUCCAAGAUCUCAACCCAGCUUUCAACAAUUUGAGCUUUUAUUUAAACAUAAAAACCCUCUUACCUCACACCUGGGCUUUAUUCUAACACUCGUCCACCACAAAAACAACUCACGGUUCUCAAACAAACAAGUGAAAACCCUAAAAGGUUCCACCACAAAAACAACUCACGGUUUUCAAACAAACAAGUGAAAACCCUAAAAGGUUUAAGAUCGUAAUUGGUUUGAUUAACCCUGAUCCAAAUUGGACAGUGAUAUGAAACUUUUCUAUUAGCAAGUAGCAGGAAGAGUAAUUAUUUACAAUAUAGUAUGAUGUACCCUUCCAUUCCAAUUGAAUCCCCACACAACCUUCACAUACGGAAUUGAACUUAACCUCAAAAGUACAUGCUUUCCACAUUAAAAUGAGACCUUAGAGCUUCCAAUAUGCUAUUUAGCCAUCCAUUCCAUGUUCUAGUUUUCCAACAUUGAGAACACACACGAUUCCUCUAUACUUCGCAUCUUAGUUUCUUGUAACAAACAGAUCCACCAUUCCUUUAGUGAUCAAUUGUUAGAUGCACUUUCUCUUGAUAGAGUUACAACACCCCAUAAUGUUAUAAGAAAGAAUAUUCAUUUAACACCCUUUGACUUGUCUUCCUUCAUUCUACGCUCUUCUUGACCUCGUUUCUCCAAUCCUAUGAUUUUAACUAUAUACGUACUAUUUUCGUCUUUGCGUCUACUCCAAAAUUCUUUGCCUUCUUCCAAACCUUGGUUGCCACAUCCUCUUCCCACUUCCCCCAAAAUCUUCUAUUUCCCUAAAUGACGUCGAAAUAAGAAGUGGAAUCACAACACAAAGCCGAACCACUUAAUGAAAAGGAUCAACAUGGUACAUUUUGAAGAGUUAAGAAAGCAAUAUGAACAUUUUUUAAGUUAAGGGACUAAAAUGUACUCCAAGAUAAUAUACGAGACUAAAAAAUGUAUUUUGCCUAAAA